rnacentral:lncRNA from 1 species
GGGUAAAUCACCUGUUUUGCAGACUUCUGAGUUUCAGAUGCCAGCUGUUAGGGGAGCAAGGGAGGGAAAAGCUUGAUGUGGGCUGGACUUACUGGCGUUGUUAUUGUUGUAUCUGUGCUGUGACAUGAUGGAGGGCAAACCAGAGUAUCCCAAGGCACUCAGAAGAGGGGACGAGGAGAAGCCAAGAGAGAGCAAGUGGCAUUCAGCUGGUGCACAGCCUGCUGGCCCCAGCCCUGGGGCAGGAGGGGCACGGCUAUGGCCCCAGAUGCUACAGCCAGUCUAAGACCUGCUGAACUCAUCACAGCUUUAGGAUGUGUGACACAUUGGGUUUCAGUGCCUCCCCUUCUGGCUGUGAAGGAAUAUCCUUGCUGUGUAACACCAAGGUGCAAAACUGCACCUGCUGCUGCUGUGGUCCUGGCCAGUGUCCCCAGUGGGAACAGUGCCAGUAACCCGACUCUCCUGCCAAGACCAGAGAGGGACACCGUGCUCCUAGGGUGUACAGGCCCUCCUUGCCUGCUGGAGACAAUGGCUGGUGCUGUGUGGGGCAGUGCCCAGUAUGACCCAUGUCUGGCUGGGAUGCUGGUGGAGGUGCCAGGGACAGGGGUCAGCAGUCGGGCUGGGUGGCAGGGGCUUGGUUGGACUCCCAGGACGGUGGUGAAGGCGUGUCAGACCUCGCUCCCAGCCCCUGGUAUAGAUUCUCCUGCUAGCUGCCCCUUCCCUUCCUGCCUCCCGGGUGCUCUCUGUACCCGGACGACGCUCCUGCCCGGGCUUCUCGGCCGCCUGCACAUGGGUGAGAGCUGACUGAAGCUGCGGGCGUUUGCAUCCCCAGCAAGCACAUGCGAGCAAUGUGCCUUUAAGACUAGCAGGAGAGCAAUAGUAUCUCCCUCCCUCCUGUUAAUUGUAGCAUGUUUUCAGCCAUGCUUUCCAGUCACAUUCGCAGGCUGUGAGAGGGAGCAGCGCUGCCGCUCGCCAGCCCGGAGAGGCUGUGCCCGCCCGGUGUGCCCGCAGGUGAUGGGGCAGCGCCCGGCACCGCAGAGCGCCGUGCCAGGAGCAGCAGCCCGGCCAGCCUGAGCUCGGGGGACACUGCUGGGCUCCCCACAUCACUUGUGCUGCUCUCGUGUCCCUCGCCUGCCCGGCCGUGGCCUCCAGCCGCGGGGUCAGACCUCUGGCCACCGCACCCUCGCCGGGGCUCCUGCGUGAGCUGCGAGCGGUGCCUCGCUGGAUCUGGGGAUCUGCAGUGGGUGAUGCAGUGGGAGCCGUGUGCUGCCUGCCUGGGGAUGCCGUGGGCUGCCGUGGGAUUGCCUGGCUCCCUGAGCGCUAAGUGACUGCAACUAGCACGAGGUUGGGACUACUUCUCGGAAGAUGCCUUGCGUGUCUCCGGUCAUUCCUCUCCGGCCUCACCGCAGAAUAUUUGGAGUUGCCAGCUUUCUUCUGCCGAGGGGGGACAAAGGCAGAGGCCUCCAGAGGGUUAAGAGCAUCUGCUUUUACGCCAAGUGUUUGAGCAGGAAAUAAUCUGCAGAGAUACAUGUGCAGCAAUUCAACUGCUGCUGCUCUCGCAGGCUGCCGCCGCUGCAGGUCGGGCUGUGAGAGGAGCCGCGCUGCUCACAGAAGAUGCUUUCCUGGUGUGUCCGAAGCUCCAGGCAUGGCAGCAGAGCCCCGGCUGUCUGAGCUGGGGUAAAUGUCUCCAUCCAAGAGGAAUUAUGUUGGUUUGCUGGCUCUGUCGGCUCACGGAGGUAGGUGCUGCUGCCUGUUCAAUAUGCCACGAUCUUUGCCGAGGGGAUACAGUCCUCUCCUCAGUCUGGGGUGUAAAAUUUCUAAAAAUUUUCCAUGGGAACAGGGCUUAAUUUGCAAUUUAUAAUACCAGACAGAAAAUACGUGUGUGAUUUCUUUGUAUGCAGCAGGGAGGAGAGGGCAAAGAUACCUGAGUGAUAUCUUUUCUGAUUGGCAAUAAAGUUGUUGCACUUAAUUGAAACAAACUACCCUCUGUCUCAGCGAAAUGCACCUGAGAGCUUUUACCUGUUCCUGCUGUAUGACCUUUCGAUGGGGUUGGCUGCAGUGUGCUGGGUUGUGCUUCGGUUCAGAAACUGGGACACAGUGCACUCUACAGGUCCCUCCAUUCUGCUCCCGUGUCGUGGGGAGGACAGAGAGCACCCACGCAGAGAGGGAAAAUGCUGCUGGCAGGGAGCUGGUGUUUUCUUGAGGAGUGAAAUUGUACUAAGAGGAAGAAAAGAGGUGAUCUUCUUCCCUGAGGAAAAAGGAAUGUUGAGGUCCUUAAGGGUUGAUCUUGGUGUCCUGAAGUAGAGAAAGAAAUUUUAGAAGCAGCAGUGUAUGAGUCUGGGGUUUGUGUUUUGCUUUCCCAGCUCUGUGGAGAGUUCUGUUCAGCUCAAACUACUUUACCAUGCAGGAUCUUUGCUUGAAGAUUUUUUGCACCAAUAUUUGGGAGGAAAAAAAAAAAUCUUUCAGUGCCAUCAAAUUUACUUAGGUUUGUUUUGAAAGUUGCCUUCUUGAGAAAUCCCUAACAAAAUCAACAGCAACUAAUACUGUUACCUUGUCGC